rnacentral:rRNA from 1 species
AGGCUUACACAUGCAGUCGAGGGGUAACAGAUCUUCGGAUGCUGACGACCGGCGAACGGGUGAGUAACACGUAUGCAACUUACCCAUAACUCGGGAAUAGCCCAAAGAAAUUUGGAUUAAUACCCAAUAAUACAGGCGUACCGCAUGGUAUUCUUCGUUAAAGAAUAAUCGGUUAUGGAUAGGCAUGCGUUCUAUUAGGUAGUUGGUGAGGUAACGGCUCACCAAGCCGACGAUGGAUAGGGGAACUGAGAGGUUGUCCCCCCACACUGGUACUGAGACACGGACCAGACUCCUACGGGAGGCAGCAGUGAGGAAUAUUGGUCAAUGGACGAAAGUCUGAACCAGCCAAAUCGCGUGAAGGAAGAAGGUAUUAUGUAUCGUAAACUUCUUUUGUAAGAGAGUAAAGUGCACUACGUGUAGUGUAUUGCAAGUACCUUACGAAUAAGCAUCGGCUAAUUCCGUGCCAGCAGCCGCGGUAAUACGGAAGAUGCAAGUGUUAUCCGGAUUUAUUGGGUUUAAAGGGUGCGUAGGUGGUCUAAUAAGUCAGUGGUGAAAUCUCUUUGCUUAACAAGGAAAUUGCCAUUGAAACUGUUAGACUUGAGAAUGGACGAGGUAGGCGGAAUUCGUAGUGUAGCGGUGAAAUGCAUAGAUAUUACGAAGAACUCCAAUAGUGUAGACUGCUUACCAGACCAUAUCUGACACUAAGGCACGAAAGUGUGGGUAUCAAACAGGAUUAGAUACCCUGGUAGUCCACACAGUAAACGAUGAAUACUAACUGUUUGCGAUAUACAGCAAGUGGUCGAGCGAAAGCGUUAAGUAUUCCACCUGGGAAGUAUGCCGGCAACGGUGAAACUCAAAGGAAUUGACGGGGGCCCGCACAAGCGGAGGAACAUGUGGUUUAAUUCGAUAAUACGCGAGGAACCUUACCCGGGCUCGAACGAUAUUUGAAUACAUCCGAAAGAUGUAGCUAGCAUAGCA